rnacentral:misc_RNA from 1 species
GUAAUUUUUAACAAUUUUGAGGGUGUUAGACCUGAUUGAGUUCAAUAGUAAGAUACCUCUUCUAUUGAUAUUGACACUUAAUUUUUUAUAGUUUUUAGGUGCAUUGAUGUGGUUGUUACUUAUAUUGUUAUGUUUAUGUGGCUGUCAAGUGCCAAUCUCUAGUGGCUUUCGCAUGCCACAAUGUUUUCAUCGGAUUCUGAACAACACAUUGCUUCAUGGGUUGCAUUCCUGUGACCAACCUUUCAACUCUAUUUGGUUAAUGAGAA